CCUACGGGUGGCAGCAGUGAGGAAUAUUGGUCAAUGGACGAGAGUCUGAACCAGCAAAGUAGCGUGAAGGAUGACUGCCCUCUGGGUUGUAAACUUCUUUUAUAUGGGAAUAAAAUGUUCCACGUGUGGGAUUUUGUAUGUACCAUAUGAAUAAGGAUCGGCUAACUCCGUGCCAGCAGCCGCGGUAAUACGGAGGAUCCGAUCGUUAUCCGGAUUUAUUGGGUUGAAAGGGAGCGGAGGUGGAUUGUUAAGUCAGUUGGGAAAGUUUGCGGCUCAACCGUAAAAUUGCAGUUGAUACUGGCAGUCUUGAGUACAGUAGAGGUGGGCGGAAUUCGUGGUGUAGCGGUGAAAUGCUUAGAUAUCACGAAGAACUCCGAUGGCGAAGGCAGUUCACUGGACUGCAACUGACAUUGAGGCUCGAAAGUGUGGGGAUCAAACAGGAUUAGAUACCCUAGUAGUC
rnacentral:rRNA from 1 species